AACGCACAUUGCACCCAGUGGUAAUCCGCUGGGUAUGCCUGUCUGAGCGUCAUUUCUACCCUCAAGCUCUGCUUGGUGUUGGCGGAUUGCCCACUGUGGCAACCGCUGAAAUUCAUUAGCGGUAGUACACUAUCCCCCUGUAUAGUCCCCAAUCUUGCAGCGGUCUAGUGGACGAACCAGCCUAACACAAAAAGAAAUUAGCAAAGUUGACCUCAGAUCAGGUAGGAAUACCCGCUGAACUUAA
rnacentral:misc_RNA from 1 species